GCCUCUUUAGCUCAGUGGCAGAGCACUGGUCUUGUAAACCAGGGGCCGUGAGUUCAAUUCUCACAAGAGGCA
rfam:Drosophila pseudoobscura pseudoobscura strain MV2-25 chromosome 2, whole genome shotgun sequence.